rnacentral:rRNA from 1 species
CUGACCUCAAAUCAGAUAGGAUUACCCGCUGAACUUAA